rnacentral:rRNA from 1 species
GACGAACGCUAGCGGCGUGCUUAACACAUGCAAGUCGAACGGAAAGGCCCUGCUUUUGUGGGGUGCUCGAGUGGCGAACGGGUGAGUAACACGUGAGUAACCUGCCCUUGACUUUGGGAUAACUUCAGGAAACUGGGGCUAAUACCGGAUAGGAGCUCCUGCUGCAUGGUGGGGGUUGGAAAGUUUCGGCGGUUGGGGAUGGACUCGCGGCUUAUCAGCUUGUUGGUGGGGUAGUGGCUUACCAAGGCUUUGACGGGUAGCCGGCCUGAGAGGGUGACCGGCCACAUUGGGACUGAGAUACGGCCCAGACUCCUACGGGAGGCAGCAGUGGGGAAUAUUGCACAAUGGGCGGAAGCCUGAUGCAGCAACGCCGCGUGCGGGAUGACGGCCUUCGGGUUGUAAACCGCUUUCGCCUGUGACGAAGCAUGAGUGACGGUAAUGGGUAAAGAAGCACCGGCUAACUACGUG